rnacentral:rRNA from 1 species
UACAGAGGGCCCGAGCGUUGUUCGGAAUUACUGGGCGUAAAGGGCUCGUAGGCGGCCAACUAAGUCAGACGUGAAAUCCCCAGGCUCAACCUGGGAACUGCGUCUGAUACUGGAUGGCUUGAAUCCGGGAGAGGGAUGCAGAAUUCCAGGUGUAGCGGUGAAAUUCGUAGAUAUCAGGAGGAACACCGGUGGCGAAGGCGGCCGCCUGGACAGUCACUGACGCUGAGACGCGAAAGCGUGGGGAGCAAACAGG